GGGCGGUUAGCUCAGCUGGUAAGAGCGCUGCGUUGACAUCGCAGAGGUCGUUGGUUCGAGUCCAAUACCGCCCA
rnacentral:tRNA from 1 species